CCGAACUUAAGUGUAGUCUUCACUUGUUUGUAGGAACAGAUGCACUCCUUUCCAGCUGUUUCGGUGUCUGUUUUGGCUUUAGUAGACCAAAGUGCAUGUAGUGGCUCCGUAUGGGAACCAGCACACCCAAAUGCAAAAUGUGAGUAAUAAGAGGAAGAAGUGUCAAGCAUGACAGGACGGUCAGCUUUCUUUAUCUGACUGUUUGUUAGUUGGCUUUGCUGAACUGUUGGGGUUGUACAACCCAGAAGUAGUACAGACAAGGAUGAAGUUGUGGCUGAAACAUUUUGGGAGGUCCUGGUUUGUCAUAUCUGGAACACAGCCUUUCCCAGGGGAAUUCAGGGAAGCCUCUUGGAUAGGACUGGAGAAAGGAAGGGGUAUUCUUUCCUCAGCCCUACCACUUCAAACUUACACCUGCUCCCUGUGCUUUCUGAGCCUGUGUUCUGAAGUGGAAGGGAAGACUUCAACCAGGAAUCACCAGAUCCGUCUGCAGAAUGGAAAUACUCUGUUUACCUGAGCAGGUUGUACCAGAGAUUCUUCAUCCUUUGCCUACCAUGACAG
ensembl:lncRNA